rnacentral:tRNA from 1 species
CCUUCGAUAGCUCAGUUGGUAGAGCGGAGGACUGUAGAGGCUGAAGCUGAAAUCCUUAGGUCGCUGGUUCGAAUCCGGCUCGAAGGA